GAUGAAGAACGUAGUGAAAUGCGAUAAGUAGUGUGAAUUGCAGAAUUCAGUGAAUCAUCGAAUCUUUGAACGCACAUUGCGCCCCUUGGUAUUCCAUGGGGCAUGCCUGUUCGAGCGUCAUUUGUACCCUCAAGCUAUGCUUGGUGUUGGGUGUUUGUCCUCUCCCUUUUGCGAUUGGACUCGCCUUAAAGACAUUGGCAGCCAGUGUAUUGGUCUUGAAGCGCAGCACAUUUUGCGAUUCUUGCUGAUAAUCACUAGCGUCCAGUAAGCCUAUUUUAACACUUUUGACCUCGGAUCAGGUAGGGAUACCCGCUGAACUUAAGCAUAUCAAUAAGCGGAGGA
rnacentral:misc_RNA from 1 species